CAGUCGUGCCAGGACAGCGUGUGCCUAGGAACUGCUCUUGGGGACUCUCACAGGCGCCCUGCACUGCCCCUGCUGUGCGUGUCUCCUGUUGCCUGGGAAGCUAAAGGGACUGUGGUCCAGGCCUGCCAUUGGCUCCCAAGAACCCCGCCUCCUGGUGACACCCCCUCCUCUUGAGUGUGGGUGAGACCUGAAGACUCACUUUUACCAAAUGGAAUAUGGAAAAGAUGUGGCCUCUGAGGUUGUUAUAAAACAACUGUGACUUCAUGGGGCUCUCCGUCCCUCACUCUCUGCAAAUCUCUCACUCUGGGGCAACAGGCUCCCCCCCCGUGAGCUGCCCCGUGGAGAAGCCCAUGAGGCAUGGAACCCAGAACCUAAGACCUGCCAGCGCCCCCUGUGUAAGCCUGGACGCCAUCCUCCCGAGUCGGGCCUGGAGAGGGCCCCAGCCCCAGCCCCAGACCCAGCCGACGCUCUGAAUGACACCCCACGAAAGGCCUUGAGUGAGAGAACGCAGGUCGUUCUUAUUAAAUAUUGACAGAUGCAAAAAGAUAAACAUAGUAAGAUAUCAAGAAUAGAUGCAAUGCACACCCAGGCCCCAGCAGUAUCCUUGCAAGUCCUCCUGAGCCUGUCUCCAUCCUGCCCCCCUGCCAGAGAUGGAGUUUCACUCUUAUGCCCAGGCUGGAGUGAGUGGUGCGAUCUCGGCUCACUGCAACCUUUCCGGCUCACUGCAACCUCUGUCCCCCAGGUUCAAGCGAUUCUCCUGCUUCAGCCUCCCAAGUAGUUGGGAUUACAGGCGCCCGCCACCACGCCUGGCUAAUUUUUGUAUUUUUACUAGAGACAGAGUUUUGCCAUGUUGGCCAGGCUGGUGUCGAACUCCUGACCUGAAGUCAUCCACCCACCUCGGCCUCCCAAAGUGCUAGGAUUACAGGCAUGAGCCACUGUGCCUGGCCGACAAAUUCUUUGAGCACUUUUGAUACGUAAGGAAAGUGCUGUGAGGGAAAGAGCCUGGUCCCUUUAAAUGAUAUGGGAGGGGGGGAAGGGAAGUGCUGGGUAGAGUAGGGCGUGGUCCCUAGCUAGGGCUCUACCCCCAUGGACCUAGGUGAGGACAGGCAAUUCAGGCAUUUCCUGCAUUUCCCAAGACCGCCCUGGCCUGCCACGCCCCUAUAAUGUGCCUUUAAAAGCCCAAGACCGUCGCUAGGCACAGACGGAAGUGACUGGAUGUGGAGAGGAGUGUAUCCGCGAAGGAACGCACAAGUGGCCUGACCUGCAGAAGAACGCUAGCUAGGCACUAGGCAUGCCGGCAAGGUCAGCUGAGAGCUGACCCCAGUGCAACGUGGAGGAGUUUGGUUGGGGCAGUCGGAGGAGCACCUGGGCCGCCAAGCGGCCAGACUUCGGGGGAAAGCCAUCUCUCUUCUGGCGCCUUUAUCGGCAGAGAGCUACUUGUACUCAAAACCUUGCACUCAUUCUCCAAGCCCACGUGGGUAAGAUUCACCCACACUGCGGAGGGCGUCGGAGCUCCACAGCCUGCCUGUCUGUAUGCUCCCAUAGAGGUUUGAGCAGCGGGGCACUGGAGAAGCAAGUCACACCCCCAUUGCACGCCAUGGGAGUAGGACAAGAAUUGGAUAAUUGGAAUCAUGCAGAAUGUAGCCUUUUUGGAGUGGCUUCUUUCACCUACCAAUAUGCAGAUUCAACAGAGUUGGAUUGCUGAGAAUAAAAUUACGGAUUUCUCCAUAAUGGACACACGCACUUUUUGUUUGUGCUGUUUCCUUUAGAAUGGACGAUGAGUCAAAAUUGUUCGUUUAUGCUUCUUCACAGAAGGAUCUUCUGUGUCGUAGGAGGUGGCCUGCAGCAAUCUGGACAUUCAGUGGUCCUCCUGUGAUUAAUAGGUGAACGGAUGAGCUAUUCUGAUAAGAACUGGGGAACUUUUGCCAUUCAAAAGCAAAUAGAAGAACUGGGAGAUUCCUCAACUUAGCUUUUCUUUUUUUUGGUUCUAAAGUGACUGCGAAUGGAGGUAGAAGAGAAGAAAAGCUUUCAAAAACAUCUUCCAUUAAGAAAAAUAUGUAUCUUCAUGAAGACCUAUCUGAGUAAAAUUACUAAAACAUAAUGGCUUUCUUGAAAUAGAAUGGAAUGAAAGGCAUAUUAGGGAGUAUGAAAGUAUGAAGAUUUUAUUAACAUACUUCUAGAAGUUUAUUAAAUAUCUGCACAGGAACUGUAAUUUGAGAUCAGUGGUGGAAAGAGAAUAAAGGAAUCACGUGGACAUCAGCUCUGAGGCCUGUGGCCCCACUUGCUUCUGGGCUUUCUAUAGACAUUUGCUGGUGACCUGCCCAGGCAGGCUAGAGUACCCUUCCUCAUUGCACCCUGUGUUCCCAUCCUCUUUUCCUUCCUUCCUUCCUUCCUUCCUUCCUUCCUUCCUUUCUUCCUCCAUCCCUUAUGAAACCCUCGUUGUGCAGUUACUUAUUAGGUGCUGUGUGAGCGUCUGAAGUCUCCCCUCACCCACUUUUCCAUUUGGGCCACUUGGCCAGUGAUUGCAUCAGUACCAGGGUUCUAGGAGCCAUGCAGGGAUCCCCAGUGGGCAGAGCUGGCCGUAGCAUUUGGAAAGGAAGAGAGAGAACUGGAGACAAUGCCUAGGAACAAAAGCAGAGUCCAGACCCAGGCAUCAAGUGCAAAUCCAAAGGCUCUGGAUGAGUCAGUUCCCAGCAAAGGGACACAAGUAGGCACAGAAGGAAGGACAGCAGAAAACACUGGUCCAGAGAGGGCCUGCAGAGCCAGAAGCGAUGACGCAUCCAAGGUUGUGUUUGACUUCUGCACUGCCUCUGCAACCUGUAAGCACAUCUGAGCCAGUUCAGAAAGUAGGAAAACCAAAGUAUAUCAGAAAUGGCCUCUUAUCAUCAAGGAGAUUUUGGUCUAGAUUGCUUAUUGCUCAGGAGAAAUCACCACUUUUUAAAAAGAUAUGCUGAGAUAGGGUUUAGUUGGGAUAGAAAAGGUUAUUAAACUACGGGACACCCUUCCUUUACAGAGUGUAAGCACUACUACCCCUUUUGUUUGUCUGUUUUUCUUAUUUUUCUCACAGAUGCAGUUCCUGCAUUAGUAUUGAUAAAUGUGUGGCUGCUCCACUUGGAGUGUUUUCAAAGCAUAAAUCACAGCAUUGAUGGUGCUGUGGUUUGGCUCUUCCAGCCCUCUUAACAACGGUCUGAUGGACUUGGCGAGAGUCUAGCCACGUGUUCUGGCCUCUGUCACUCUCAUGGCUGAAACGCAUGCACACCCACAGAUGGGGGCCCCGUGGUAGAGAUGUGCCUCUACUUGUCAAAUAGACUGACUCCAAAUUCGGAAAUAUGCCUCAGGAAUCUAGAAAGAUAGAAAAGGAGUCUUCGUCACUGUAGGGUCUCAUUCACAAUAUGGAGGAGAGAUGGAGGGGAGUUUUUGGUAUAAAUUUUGCCUCAUAAAAAUUCUCCACGUUGUUUUGUACUGUAUGAGGGUAGCGAGAAAUUAGUUGAUGGUUAACAAUCAAGCUGGAGAAGAAUAUCCUCAAUUUUUCACAUGGAAAAUGAAAAACUACAACUCCUUCCAAAUAUAUGUAUGUUUCUUUUCUGAAGAUAGACGUGUGUGUGUUUGUGUGUAUCAUAUAACAUUUAUUUUUUGAUUUCUUUGUUAUCAACAGUAAAAAUACAGAAAAUGAUGCCAAAGAGAAUUUCUGAUUUUUCUUUCCUUGUUUUCCAUUAAAGUGUAUUACAAAUAAUGUCUUCAAACACAAUAGCAUGCAUAGUGGCUUAAAUUGGAUUCUUCCUGGGCCACUCUGUUUAGGAUCCAGGUUUUUAACAUUGUUCUUCUAAGUGCAUCCAUGUUUCCUGAGAUCCACAAAGCUUGAUCUCAUCCGUGGAACCACCUGGCCUAGAACCAGCUGCG
rnacentral:lncRNA from 10 species